rnacentral:lncRNA from 1 species
UGCGGGCCGCCCUGGGCCGGCGCCAGCCAAUGGGGGCCGGGCGGGCCGGGGACACCAGCGCUUCCAGGAAGCCGGCGGGGCACAGCUGGGGAGCUCGGGAGCGGAGCCGCCUGGUGCCAAGGUGACUGGACACUUCUCCUCUCUAACCAUGUGGGAUCCCAACGCAGGACAGCCUGGUGCCUACCCCGGAGCGGCCUUCCCUCCCAACCCCACGUACCCACCUGGCUCCAAUCCUGCCUACCCUCCCCCCGGGAACCCUGCCUUCCCCCCGGGCACAGUGCCCCCUGGCUCCUAUCCCAUCCCUCCAGCGGGGGUUCCAGGGCAGCCUGCAUACCCCCCCGGCCACCCCAUUCAACCCCCUUUCCCUGGCCAGCAGCCUGGCUACCCUCUGGGUCCCUACCCACCGCCUGCUCCUGGCAUGCCUGGGGGGAUGGGUAUUAAUCCCCUGAUGCCUGGGACCGUCAUGGUCGGGACCCAAGUGCUGGACAAGAAGGCGGCGAAGAAGAUGAGGAAGAAGAUGAAGAAGGCUCACAAGGUGCACAAGCCACACAAGCUGCACAAGCAUGGAAAGCAUUCCUCUUCCUCCUCCUCCUCCAGCAGCAGCGACUGACUGAGGCUUCCCUCCGCCUUCCAGCCACGCAUGCUUCCCGCAGACCAGACAGUGAUCUUCCCCUGCUACAACCAAGCCACUGGCUGACUGGACUGAUGCCAGCCACCUCCCUAACAGCCUGUAUAACAGGGCUAGGGACAGAGGCUAAAAUCCCCAGGAAAAUCUGGCACAGAACAGGGAGCCCUGGUGAGCCAUACGCUAAUCUGGAUGUCACUGAUCGGGUGAUGGAGGGCACUGGUGCGAUCAGAGGUGCAACCUUAGCAUUAAAAGCAGGUGCACUGGGGGCCAGGUAUUAAAAUGCAGGAGCCCUGUAGCAAUAUUGCAGUUGGGACUCUGAGCUUUUUUUACCUUUCAUGACAAGUCCCUUCUGGACUUAAAAAUUGGAGCCUCCCGACUCACAGCCUAUGCCCCAUUCAUGAUGCAAUUGCAGAAUAAGUCCUUGCAAAUCAAGGCAUCUGCACCAGCCGCUCCCUUCAUCCCUUGAUAUUCUGGCUCGUUCUGACUGGCCUGCAGAAAUCUGGGGAUGUUGCUGACUGGCUGAGAGGCAGGUUUGUUUUCAAAGGCAUAAGGAAGUUGGGUAUCUAAAUGACUUUGGAUAAAUCUGCCCCCAGUUGUCCAUUUUCUGGUGGGAUGUUCCUUUUGGGGCUGAGGGAGGAGGUAGUCUAUAUAGAAACUAAUUACAAAAAGUCUAUAUAGUAUGUAUAAAAACUAAUCACAGAAGUGCUUGGAAUAAUAGCUCUGAAUUAAAAUUCUGAAUGUCUCAUGUCGUAAAUGAAUGUACAUGAUCAGGGAUAACUUUAUAAGAGUUUGAAACUUGAUUUUAGUGUGAAGAUUUUUUUCCCCCUCUCCCACCUCCCUCUCUCCCCCGCUCCCCAACAAGGAUCUUGGAAGGAAAGGGUUGGAGGUGGGGGCUGGUAUUCCAAGAGGUCCCCUUGGUGGGAGGAGUAGGGGCUACCCAAAUACAGUCUGGCUGACACCGUAUAAAACAGAACAGAAUGCAGCCAUAUCUCAUCACUAACCCGAACGUAUGGCCUUAGAAGACUACAAGUCCCAGCAUGCUAUGCUCCCCACUGUUCCCAAUUGCUGGGCUGGAGCAUGGCCUGCUGGGCUCUGUAGUAUCUGCAGGCUGCCUCUUCAUGCUGAAGAAGGUGACUCAGCGCUGCAACGUGGAGCUGUGUGACAUGGCUCAGGGCUAUCUUUGGGAUGGUUUUGGAGCCCAAGCUCUGCACAUGGGCACAGAGGGGACCAAGACGGAUUUGGACUAGCCAUGACGGCUUGUUGCAUGGUGCUCCCAUGCAUACUUUAUUUUAAUCCCUCUGGCUGUGGAAGUUGUCUUCUGUACCCGCUGUAUACUUGUAUCUCUUUAUUGCUUCUCCAAUAAAGUUUUUUGGUUUUAAUACUGAACUGCA